GGACUCUAGGCUUGUGAAAUACUUCGUAUUACGGACAAGGACAAGGACAGGAACAAGGACAAGGACAAGGACGAAAAAAAGCUGCUAAAGAUUCGCUGUUGAAUGGGGAGGCAACUGCUACACUACUGGAACCACGGCUAAAAAAAUCUGCAUUACGCCAUCGAAAAACUGUCAUAGGAGAGUCGGAGGAUUUAUGGCAGCCAAUGUCUACUCCUUCCCCGAAACUGCACCCACUACUUCAAGACCAACACAGCCAACCCCUCCUGGAAAGUAGCCUGCUGUGCAGACGUUUUUAGUGUCGGCUCGUUCUUUUCCCUCCCCACAAACGUCUGCUCAAACUAGCCACGCAUUCCUUUCCCAUAGAUUGACCAAUCAGAGCGCGCCUCCCGAAAUGCUGGAAGCUGACCUUCACCUUGGCUUACUUUCGAUAUAGAUGAAGCCUUUAGAAAUGUCUGCGAAAUUUAGAUAAGCGAUCCUAAUUCGUAUCAGAAAGAAACCUUAAGGUGCUUCGUCUCUGAAAAACGAGACGUUUUCGUAAAUCUGCUAACAGGAGCUGGAAAAUCAAUAAUUUACUGUUUGAAUCAUAAAGACUGAGCUCGAUGUCCAGUACUUUUUCGAUAAGUUCUUUGAUGUCGACGGUAGAUUUGCCAUAUAUUCUUAUCUUUUCAUUUACGACUCCCUCACACGCUCACACGAACAUAAAAAGCGGUUAGAUUGAGCUCCUACAACUUUCUUAUGAGUCCUAUUCAUAUAGAUUUGGAAAUUAUUAAUAUUUUAUACGAGGAUUUACGAACUUUAGACGAUACGUUUUCACAGAAAUUUGAAUGUGGGCAGUUGUUUACAUUAUUUUUUGGCGUUGCUGAUUGGUUCGAUUAAACAAAGGGAAAGGAAUGUGUGGCUAGUUUGAGCAGACGUUUGUGGGGAGGGAAAGGAACGAGUCGACACUAAAAACGUCUGCACAGCAGGCUACCUGGUAAGCUAUGGUGACUGAGUCAAAAGGAUUCUUGUUAGGGAAAGCUUCUCUCAAAAACUUUAAUAUUUCUAUAGAUAAGCUUAAUUUAUUUUAAUGCUGGAUGAAA